GAUGAACGCUGGCGGCGUGCCUAAUACAUGCAAGUCGAGCGAACGGACGAGAAGCUUGCUUCUCUGAUGUUAGCGGCGGACGGGUGAGUAACACGUGGAUAACCUACCUAUAAGACUGGGAUAACUUCGGGAAACCGGAGCUAAUACCGGGUGAUAUUUUGAACCGCAUGGUUCAAAAGUGAAAGACGGUCUUGCUGUCACUUAUAGAUGGAUCCGCGCUGCAUUAGCUAGUUGGUAAGGUAACGGCUUACCAAGGCAGCGAUGCAUAGCCGACCUGAGAGGGUGAUCGGCCACACUGGAACUGAGACACGGUCCAGACUCCUACGGGAGGCAGCAGUAGGGAAUCUUCCGCAAUGGGCGAAAGCCUGACGGAGCAACGCCGCGUGAGUGAUGAAGGUCUUCGGAUCGUAAAACUCUGUUAUUAGGGAAGAACAUAUGUGUAAGUAACUGUGCACAUCUUGACGGUACCUAAUCAGAAAGCCACGGCUAACUACGUG
rnacentral:rRNA from 1 species